UUCCGUUUGGAGAAGUUGCAAGGACUUACAAUGAUGUAGAAUUAAAGGCCGAAAACAGCUGUAGACGUUUAAUGAUCCCAUAUUUAGAAAAGGUGUGAUAGAUUUAUGUUUACAGACGUGGGGAUGUUCAGGGUAACCUUGCACCUCCUCCUACCUCCUAAAGCCAAACGCAUCCGCUGGAAGGAAGUGCGUAAAGACUGACCGACGGGGUUCAGCUACUGAUCGAUGAACGAUGGCAGCACGGCUUGGAAACGUGAGGACUCAGCUUGUUGACAGACUGUCCCUAGAAGUUAUUAAUCAGAUCCUGGACCGUCUGUUCGAGGAUGGUGUCUUAAACGAGGGAGAGAAAGACGGCAUAAUCCAGGCCAACCAAAAAAGAUCUGACAAGGCACGUGACCUCAUUGACAUAGUGAGGAAAAAAGGAGACGUAGCCAGCGAGAAGAUGCUUGACAUCCUUCAGGAUAGAGACCCGAUGCUUUGUUCAUCCUUGGGUCUCCAGUCUCAAUGAGCCAUUAAACCAGGUGCUGUGUUCCAGGAGGAGCAGAGUUGAUCCACAGUCGUCUCCAAAACCAAGACACUGAACGGAGAAAAGGAAGACUGUGGAUUCAUCCUCAUCAAUUUGACUGACUGGUGUCAUAUAAACUGUGACACGAUUUUCAGAAUUGGCAUCACACCAUAUAAUGCGACCAUAAUAACAUCCUAAGACUACUUGUCCCUUUAUAGACUUAGAAUUAUGUGUUGUAUUUCAGUUCAACUUUUAUAAUUUUGUAGUAAAAGUUUGACUAAACUGA